AGAAUCAACGCUGGCGGCGUGCCUAACACAUGCAAGUCGAACGAGAAAGUGGAGCAAUCCAUGAGUAAAGUGGCGACCGGGUGAGUAACACGUGACUAACCUACCUUCGAGUGGGGGAUAACCUCGGGAAACCGAGGCUAAUACCGCAUAACAUCGCAAGAUCAAAGCAGCAAUGCGCUGGAAGAGGGGGUCGCGGCUGAUUAGCUAGUUGGCGGGGUAACGGCCCACCAAGGCGAAGAUCGGUAUCCGGCCUGAGAGGGCGCACGGACACACUGGAACUGAAACACGGUCCAGACUCCUACGGGAGGCAGCAGUGGGGAAUUUUGCGCAAUGGGGGAAACCCUGACGCAGCAACGCCGCGUGGAGGAUGAAGCCCCUUGGGGCGUAAACUCCUUUCGACCAAGACGAUAAUGACGGUACUGGUGGAAGAAGCACCGGCUAACUCUGUGCCAGCAGCCGCGGUAAUACAGAGGGGGCAAGCGUUAUUCGGAAUUAUUGGGCGUAAAGGGCGCGUAGGCGGUGUUUUAAGUGGGAUGUGCAAUCCCCGGGCUUAACCUGGGAACUGCAUCCCAGACUGGAACGCUGGAGUACUGGAGAGGGUGGUGGAAUUCCACGUGUAGCGGUGAAAUGCGUAGAGAUGUGGAGGAACACCAGUGGCGAAGGCGGCCACCUGGACAGUAACUGACGCUGAGGCGCGAAAGUGUGGGUAGCAAACAGGAUUAGAUACCCUGGUAGUCCACGCCCUAAACGAUGUCGACUAGUUGUCGGGGAUUAACUUCCUCGGUAACGCAGCUAACGCGUGAAGUCGACCGCCUGGGGAGUACGGUCGCAAGAUUAAA
rnacentral:rRNA from 1 species